rnacentral:lncRNA from 1 species
CGUGUGCUUGUGCAUCUGUGUUUGUGUUUCUGAGCUGGUAUGUUUGUGACCCUGCGUGUAUCUGUGGAUGGUGUGUACGUGCAUGUGUUGAGUAUCUGUGUACGUGUCUCUCGUGUUUGCUCCGUGCGUGUACGCCUCUGUUCCCACCGCGUUGGCAAGGGAGGCUCUCCAUCCGCAGACACAAAGUUUCCUUUUCUCCGUCAGCGGAGGGAGUGGAAUGGUGCAAAGUCUGCAGAGGCCGGAAAGGGGAGGGUAGGGGAGCUCCUCAGUCGCGGCUUC